rnacentral:rRNA from 1 species
GGGGGAAUCUUGCACAAUGGAGGCAACUCUGAUGCAGCGACGCCGCGUGAGCGAAGAAGCCCUUCGGGGUGUAAAGCUCUUUCGGCAGGGACGAUGAUGACGGUACCUGCAGAAGAAGCUGCGGCUAACUACGUGCCAGCAGCCGCGGUAAUACGUAGGCAGCAAGCGUUGUUCGGAAUUACUGGGCGUAAAGAGUGUGUAGGCGGUUGUCUAAGUUCGGUGUGAAAUCUCCCGGCUCAACUGGGAGGGGGCGCCGGAAACUGGAGAGCUUGAGCCUGGGAGAGGAAAGCGGAAUUCCUGGUGUAGCGGUGAAAUGCGUAGAGAUCAGGAGGAACACCGGUGGUGUAGACGGCUUUCUGGACCAGGGCUGACGCUGAGACACGAAAGCGUGGGGAGCAAACAGGAUUAGAUACCCUGGUAGUCCACGCCUUAAACGAUGCAUACUUGGUGUCGGCCAUUCAGUUGGUCGGUGCCGGAGCUAACGCGUUAAGUAUGCCGCCUGGGGAGUAC